rnacentral:pre_miRNA from 1 species
UCUUAUGGGUUUGCAAAGAAAGUGAUUUCCUGAGCUGGAAUCUACUUCUGGUGAAGAUGCUGUGAA